rnacentral:lncRNA from 1 species
GGUUAAAGAAAAAAGUAAAAAAUAAAAAAUAUAGCAUCAGUUCCCCCAACAGAGCAGGACUCUGAGGAAUGUGGAAGUGCUCAGGGAACAGCAGCGUCAGGAAACCUGACCAAAGCAGCCUGACAGACAGGAUACCGUUCCCUGAGCAGCACAAACUGCCAGUGAAGGAGAUGUCCUAGCUCGUACUUCCCCCAGCCUUCCCUGUCUCUUGCCUCAACAUCCACCCCUGCCUUUGCAGGCAAGCAGUGAUUUGGGUCGGCACAGAGUCCCUGAACAAUUUAACCUUGGAAACAAACCAUUAGUUCCUGGCAGUUGGGCAACAGGAAUGGCUUCUCCUGCAGCUACAAUUCUGUGAUGCAACAGAGGGUGAGGCCCUGCGGCUGAGGGAGAGGAAAGGUGGGACUGUGCAGCCAGGUCUUAGACUGGUUCACAUCCAUUGUGUAAGCAAGCUCUGGGCAGCAUAACCACAGGGCCUUAAUUACAGGGCUUUAAGCCAGGAAUACAUUGUGCCAAAAAUUAGGAAAGCUUUUGAACACCCUCCUGCCGGGAAUACUGCAAGCUGCCCUUCACAUGAACUUUCCCCAGGAAAAGUGCCUGUGCAGUAUGGCCUCUUCUUCCAUGGACCUACAUGUGCCCAUUUGGGCUUUUUUGUUUAACUCUUCAACUUGAAUUAGACAAAUCAAAGCAUUUCAUGGACCUGGUCAGCUCCCUACCACAAUGCCAGCUGCCCCUUUGUGGAAGUGGGUAUUAGCACAGGGGUCACAUUUAAGUUGAUAGAUAACAUAGCCAGCAUUGACUGAUGUCUUCCUGGUACGAAAUUGCAUCCUGUGGACUAACCUAACAUACAUGUGAUUCCAUAGUGCAGCCACUGGAUGUUGUCAUUGCUCCUUAUAAAUGUCACUAGCUCUGCGUUACCAUCCCAUAGAGAGAAAACAGAAUCCCGAAAUACAAGGCAGCUUCAACAUCAACCACAGCUGUUGAUGGAGCACAUGCAGCCACCACGAGUACUGGAACAUCUGAUUAAUGACAACAGGGAACAAAGCAAAUAUCACAUCUUACCGAAGAUUUAAAGUAUGCACGGGGCUUUAAAUAACCAAGGAAGCCUGGACUUCAGCUAUUGCUUUAGUGACUUAUAAACACAUCAAUAAAUGCACAAUGGGAGGCACUAAAAGUGAUGCUUGUCAUUUAUCCACUUGACAACCAUCUGGGAAGUUUCAUUUCACUGUGAGAUCUAUAUUUGUAUUUAACCUCAAGCACAAUAUUUCCCAGAGAAGAAAGCACUGAGAACCUUAAGGGGCUUCCUAGGCAGAACAAUUGAGAUGCUCCUUUAACAACAAAUGGGAUUAUGGAGAGAAACUUCUGUUAGCUGACACAUUUGAUAUACUUUAAAAAGUGAAAAAGAGAUUAAGAACCAGAGCAAAUGAAGGAAAACUAAAGGCUAUGCUUGUUUUGGUUGUUUCCCAGAUGUCCCUGAACACUGAAUUGCAAUUUUGUGCUGGUUCAAUCUUUCUUGACUGCAGGCUACUGCUAGAUGAUGUGAUCUGUUCUCACCCUUCCCUUCCAUCUGAUCUCACAUAGGCAGAAGCCAAGUUUGAGAUUACUGUUAGGGAGGACAAACUAGAAAACAAAAUUAAUUGUCCUUUCAGUGGCUCAGCAAAUGGAAGGAAUCCAUCACAAAACUGCACAACCAACCUAGAUUCUGUUCAACAAACCAACCCCUAGAUUCUGUGCAAGAGAAUUGGUGAAACAGCCUCUAGUGGAAGUAUCCCCCAGUUAAACUAAAUUAAGCACAACACAAAGCCAUACUCUGAGUCAAUUUUGUCUAUUUUCAGGUGAUGACUGUCCCUUACAGAACCACCCUGUUUGCUAUUUAUUUAGCUGUUUAUCCAAACUGCACUUUCUGACAGGCCAGUGCUGUUAUCAGACUCACCCCACAACAACCCAAUAUGUAACUUUUAAGCUCUUUUGCAUUAUUCCCACUUUAAUGUGUUAUAUUACUUUAGUGAGCAGUGGGAUAAGCCUUUCCUCAGCAGCAGUACCAGCUUAAGCAGAGUUUUACGCUCCUCCAGCCCCAUAGCUACAUCCUUAGUUGUUCCAGU